rnacentral:rRNA from 1 species
UGCCAGCCGCCGCGGUAAUACGUAGGGGGCAAGCGUUGUCCGGAUUUACUGGGUGUAAAGGGCGCGUAGGCGUGUUUGUAAGUCAGAGGUGAAAUCCUGCGGCUCAACCGUAGAACUGCCUUUGAAACUACAAACCUUGAGUUUGGAAGAGAGAGAUGGAAUUCCAGGUGUAGUGGUGAAAUACGUAGAUAUCUGGAAGAACACCAGUGGCGAAGGCGGUUUACUGGCAUCCAACUGACACUCAGACGCGAAAGCAUGGGUAGCGAACGGGAUUAGAUA